ensembl:lncRNA
ACAACACACAGCACAGUUUUCAUGUUUGUUAUGUGUUUUCUCUUCCUUAUAGAUCUGUUAGAGCCACGUCAAGGACUGCUGUGUCCAGGAGUGGAGAAAGGCUUAUGUGAGACAAGAGACUCUACUGUCAGAAGAAAGCAAGUGAUUUCAUCCUAGGUAACAGCUGACUCCUAUCUUCAGUUUUGUGUUCCUCGAAGAAUUCACUAGGAAAAUUCACGUGGAGCAACUCCAGCUAAAGAAGCAUGAAGACUAGUCUACUGGGGAAAGAAGAAAUGGGUUUCCAUGGACCUAUCAAUGAUACUCAUCACAGAAUUUCCCCAGCCAGAAGAAAGCACUGCUUUAAUCCAUCAUGCAGAGAGGAUCUGACGUCUGUAAUGUCGCUGUUACCAAAAAUAUCUGUAAGCUUCUUCAAGAAGGAACAGAAUUCUGUUCAUUGUAGCCUAGCACAUGACUCUGUGGAGAUAGCCAGAAAUGUCUGUGAUGUGUAUAGAUGGAUAGAUGAAUGAAUGAAUGAAUGAUGUAGUCUUUCAGCAAACUGUAAUGAAAUACAUAAUUAUGAGAUGGAUGAGCUAAAGCGUUCUCUAUUCUUCAUUCUUAGAACUUAGUUGUUAUUUCUUUCGUUCAUAGAGCAGCAGUUUUCCCCUACUAGAAAUGAAGCAUCAUUGGUACUUUGGUUUAUAUUUAAAUAUAAGGGGCCUGAAGAGCUGGCCCAGUAGUCAAGAGAACACUGGCUGCUCAUCCAGACAGAACCAGUUCAACUUAAAGCACCCACAUUAUGGCCUAUAACUAUAUAUCUGGUUUCUGUGAGCAACAGUCACACAUGUGAUGUAGAGACAAACACACAAGCAGAACACUAAAGCAAAUAAUGUCAAAUGAGGAUAAUUUUGAAAAUUAUAUUUGAAGGUAAGAUUACAAAGAUAUAUAAAUGAAUACGUCAUCAAGAUUAACUUACCGUAAUAGGAUCUGUAUUUUUAGAGCAUACUCAUAGCUCAUAACUAUAUCUUCAUGGUCUACACUUUCAAAUCGUUUCUAUAACCUAGAUCACCUACAACAGACUUCCAUCAAAGACUCAUAACACAGUGUAAGUCUCAAGCAAAAGAUGCAUAUUAGUUUUAAGACCUCUCAUAAAUACAAAUAAUAGAUAAAUAAGUUAGCUGAAGAAGAGCAAGGCUUGUGUAUAUGACCAUGAGAAGACCCUUCAACUUUACAAGACCCUCUCCAAAAUCUAUAACCACAUGAUUCAGGCCUCUUACAACUUGGCAGAUAUCUCACACCACAGAUGGGACUCAUUGGCAGUCCAGUGUUUCUUCCAAAGACAGUGUUAGCCACCCAGCUUUGUAUGUUCAUCCCUGGUUAUUCACUUAUUAGAUGGCUCUAGACUAAGGCUGUGGGGGAGCCGUCAUAGCCAUGUCAUACCUGAAAAAUCUGUGAAUCAGUACAAGUCCAGAGAUGGUCCAUCCCUGGGUCCAAGUCUGGGUGCAUGGUUAAUGAGCUGAUGGUAGGGUU